rnacentral:tRNA from 1 species
GAUUCUUUAACUAUAUAAGUAUAUAUUUUGAAAAUAUAAAAAAGAGCUUUCUCUAAAAAUCU